rnacentral:rRNA from 1 species
AAUCAACGCUGGCGGCGUGCCUCAGACAUGCAAGUCGAACGAUUAAAGCUCUCUUCGGAGAGUGUAUAGAGUGGCGCACGGGUGAGUAACACGUAAGUAAUCUACCUUUGAGUGGGGAAUAACAUCGGGAAACCGAUGCUAAUACCGCAUAAUGCAGCGGCAUCGCAAGAUGACAGUUGUUAAAGAUUUAUCGCUUGAAGAGGAGCUUGCGGCAGAUUAGCUAGUUGGUAAGGUAAUGGCUUACCAAGGCUACGAUCUGUAACCGGUCUAAGAGGACGGUCGGUCACACUGACACUGAAUAACGGGUCAGACUCCUACGGGAGGCAGCAGUCGGGAAUUUUGGGCAAUGGGCGAAAGCCUGACCCAGCAACGCCGCGUGAAGGAUGAAGUAUUUCGGUAUGUAAACUUCGCAAG